UCACGCUCGUAAUGCACGACAAAAAGGAAAAAACUACCAGCCCUCCUCGCCUCCCCCACGAUGCCCUCCUGGGCAGGGCACGCGCGCCCCUCUGCGCUCGGCUGCCGCCCCUCCGCGCUUUCCCGCCGCCGCCACGCGCCUGGGUGGCCACUGAGGCUCCCGGCCUCCUGGUCAACCAGCACGGAGCCGAUGCAUCGACACCAACGCGGGAUCCGUCUGCCCUUCUCGCUCGCUGUUUGACGCUGCCAUGCAUAGACGGAGGUGGUGCUGCGGCAUGCGAUCCGAUGUCGAGAUCACGGGAGAAUUGCUGCUGCUGAUCCCUACCUCCACCCCCAAACCACACCCGUCCAUGGUCGCCGAGGCCAGUCGCAUCAUGGCACGGUGAUUUCAGAAGUACGGUCAAAUGGAAGGCUGGAGGAAGAUUUUUGAUAUGGCAAAGGCAUCAGUAAUGACAUGAGACAAGAGUGAUGACAAUGGAAAAUGUAUGAAUAUGCAGCCUUCACAGUAAAAAGGUAAAACAGUUCUUUCAUUUUGUUUGUUUUGCUCUAGAUAUAUGUGACAAUUGGUCAUAUAUAUGCAGGCCUGACUUGUUUCUUCGAAGGGGACAAAUUUGUCCAAUAUAUGCAGGUCUGACUUGUUUCUUCAAAGGGGACAAAGUUGUCCUCUUCUUAAUACUCAAGAACUAAGCUAAAAAAAAGUGAAGGACACAACUGCCAGCUUGACAUAUUUGGGUUUAACUAUCUCUUUUGUUUGCUUCCUUCAUUGUUAUUACUUUUGUCGUAUGUCUUAUUUCUUAAAGUCUUCCUCCAAAGUUUUGUUUCGGAUAUGCGCAUUUCAUAUUAGUGAAGACGUGCAUUGGCCUUUGAUCCUAAUUUUAGAAGAAGCUCGAGUAAUUAGCUCUAUUUUAUACGACUGGCAAGUAAGGAAAAAUGGCUAUUGAUGGAAUCAGUUUUUUUUCUUGUUUCAUAUUCAGUAGCCUUAUGAUUAGCUAUUUGUGAGCGAGUUUUCCUGCAUCGCUAUCUUUUCUACUUAUAAAAGAGCAACCAUUUUCUUUCUUAGAAGUUAAAAAGCACAAUAAACAUGGCAGAUGAGGGAGCCAGAAUAAUAAAAAAUAUCAGAAAACUGGAUGUAGACUCCUAGCAUGCUCUCUUUUGUUACUUUCAUAUUUUAUAUUUAUUGGUCACAUUGAGGUGCUCUUAGGUGUAUGUACUGUUGGAUAUCCUUGCCUUUCUUCCUGGUUCUGUAUUUUGAGAUUUAUAUGCAAUUGGUUCAUCUCACAAUAUGAACAUGACCCCUCCUGAAAAAACAGUCGCCAAUUGCAUUGUCUUCUAUAAUGUAGUUAUGCACCGUGUAGUACUAGCAUAUGACAUAUGUAUAAGUUGUAGACCAUGGUAGAAGGCAUUAUGGACUAAAAUUACAAGUGUGAGUAAUUUCACUUGAAUAUAUUGCCAUCCAUUCCACAUAUUUCUACUCACUUUGUUGUUUGACAGAGUUGAAUUGUCAGAGCCCAAAAUGCAUAUGGUUUUAUUUUGUAUGCUCACCCUAGAUGCUACCACACAAUUAGAGCUUAUAACUACCGGUUCUUUUAGAAUUAAAUGGAAGUACAUACUGAUUUAGUUUCGAAGCAAAUAUUUGACAGAUUCCCCUUCAAUCCGAAGCAUAGGAAAUGGAAAAUUUACCAAGAGCUAUGUGAGAAAUCAUCAAGGGAACGACCUACGGUACGAGAUACCGAAGAGUGUAAAUCGUAGCCCUAUUUCCUUCUUAAAACAAAUUUUUUUUCUGGGGACCAAUUUAUGUUGUAUACUGAAAUCAUAUUGUAUACUACAAUCAUGUUGUCUUAAGAAGAAUCAAGCUGAAUUAGCUUGUCCAGUGACACAAUAUGUUUAACAAUGGGGGUUUGAUACGAUUAAUUAGUAAAUUUGAUGUUCAUCGUUUACAACUUAUUAGAGACCAAAUGGAUGAAACAUCAUAUUAUUAUUUUUAUGUGGUAACGUGAUGUGUUCACUUUUAAAAGUAUAUCCCAAGUGACAUCACAAACAUUAUGCAUCCAUCUAAAAUUUAUAUUUUUUAACAUUAUUAUUUAUCUAAGAGGCAAAAUGUUCAGAAUGUUCAUUCAUGUUAGUUUAUAAUAAUUCUCAGAACAUUUUAUUUUUUCCUAGCAAAUAAUUAUGUUUAGCUUCAAUACAUGUUUUCAGUUUACCAUUAGGAUUAUGUCAUCCAGUUUGUUGGGGAAUAUUUGUGGUUCACCAAGCAUAGUUAAGUGGGCACAUGAUCUGUGUAGUCCAAGUGUGAUCUAGACAUGAUGUUGUUCCCUAAUUUUCUGCUAUCUUAGAAUAUCUUUAUUUAACGUGAAAAUGGCUAUUUUGUUGAAGGCUAAACUGAGCAACCAAAUAUCUCUUAUUUACCUUGGUACCAAUUAUCUUUAGAUACCAUUUUUGUGGUGUACUAUAAUAGUUGCAAAGUGGAAAUGUUUCGACAUUUGCUGAGCUAAGAUACCGGUUAAUCAAAAAAUUAACCAGUUAAUAGAAGAAGUAACAAAUGUGAAAGUUUGACCACUUUGUUGGGUUUUGAGGCAUCCACAUGUUGAACGGACGAGGCUCCCGUGCCGUACUGCAGGGUGCAGUUGGCCCACUGACUGGUGGGCCUGGCAGCAGUUUGGCCCACAUGUCAAUGACCCAACUGCAUCUUACAAUACAUCAGGGGAGCUGAGUCGAUGUUGAACAUGUGAGAUUUACUUACCCAAGUGAUUUUUUAGCUCAAACCAAAAAGCAGAGACACAUUGUUCUACGGAUAUACGUGCUUUGCACGUGCACGUUUACUAGUUUCACUAAAAGAGAGAUAUUCGCUCCGAUAUUGCCACUAAUGACUAAUGAAUGCAAAGGAUUCCCCAAAUCCUCUCUUUGAUAUUUUCCAUAGUAAAUGCGCUAAAAGGGAAGAGAUCACGUGGGGGGAAGGAAAGGAAGGGAAAUGGAGAAGAAAUAAUUCACUAGGAGCCGUCAUAAGGCUACCAGAGCCAAAGACGGUGUUCCAUGCGACUGCACGCGCUCGCAUGAGCGGUCGUUUGGUGUGGAAACCGAGGCAGGUUGUCCACCUAAACAACUUUCAUAAGGGGGACCCCGUCGAAAUGUCAACAGAAAGGGGAGAAAGAGGAGCGUCAAGCACAGCCAAAACCUGUUCAUCAUCAUCUUCAUCCACAAACCCUAGCCACCACCAUUUUCAUCUCCCUACCCGUCUCCACCACCAUAGUGCUCUCUCACCUAGUUCAUACUUGUAAUCAUGCAUCUCACAAGGCAUCCACUGUAAGACAUAUUAGAAUCAAUCAAUCCCAAGAUGUGUUCUUCAAUAUUUCCCUCUUGCAAUCUGAUCUCCAUGUGUGAGUAGUUCAGUAAGGUAUGGGGUGAGGCAUGAGCCUUGAAACUCCAGGUAUUUGGUGAAGGGAUCAAUGGAAGUCUUUGACACAAUGUCUCGUAUGUGUGAAAUAAAAUUGUUUCGUGAAGUAUCUCUUGUCUUGUCUGCGACCUUCAUCCCUACAGGUACCUAAGAUCAUGGAGAUUGGGCACCGGUGAGGCUAGGAGCAAGGGGACCAAGAAGUAUUAUACCGAACACUGGUGACAGUAAGGUUUAGUAGGGUAACAUGGAUCAUAUCCUUGGGGAUUCAUGAGGUGUAGUCCUUAAACGCCCAAUGCUUUUGUCUGAUAUUAUUAUCUUAAUUAUCAGGGCAACCCCAUGAGACGGAUAGGGCCUUCGGUAGGACAACUAAUUCUUGAUGCAGGAGCAUGCCGGUCAAGAUGUUAUUUGGACACAUUCCCCACUCCGAUACGAAGCAAGCACCUCUUGAUGUUUGACUUCCCGAGCACAAACUAAUAUUAUUUUUUAUCCCAACACCAAUACAUGGUGAUCUCAUCCCUGUACCUUCUUUUUAUUAUAAGUAUUUGAAUCACAAUUUGCUUGCUGAUCCGGUCAAAAGCUAGAUUUGACACUUUGGCAAAAGCUUGCUAUAGACCAUUGUUUCAAGGGAGUCUUCCUCUCGUGGGUUCGAUACACAGGGUCACCUCUGGGGAAAUAGGUGUGGGAUACCCUUUCUUGUUCCAAUACCGGAUAAAUAAAAAGGAGAUAUCAUGAGUGCACUUUAUAUUAGAAUUUUAAACACUAUUGCAACAUUAACUAUGGAUAAAUCUCUAAAUGAAUCUUGUGUUUGUUGUUGUAUAUCACUGGCUUGCAAUAGUUUAAAUUUAGCACCCCUGUUUGAGAAAGAAAAUUUGACUGCAAGUGGUGGAAACUAUGAGGAUUGGAUCCACACUCUAAGAUAUGUUCUCAAAAGUGCUAAGAAAGAAUAGGUGCUUGAUCAACCACUUGGUGACUACCCUGCGCUAGGAGCAUCUUAAGAUGUCAUCAAUGUGUUCAUAUCUCAGAAGAAUGAUUUCAUUGUUGUCAAAAGUAUUAUACUAUCUUGCAUGGAUCAAGUGUUACAUAAAUGUUUUGAACAUCUAAGUGCUAUUGAAAUUGUUGAAGCACUAGAAGUUCUGUAUCAUAACGAUCCAGCUGAAGUUCACGAGAUGACUGGACCAUUGGGUGAAUGCAAAAUAGCUGAAGUGCGAUGCUCAAAACCAAUGAGAUCGGGUUGCAGAACCAGCAAAAGUUUCUUGUAAACAAGACAUAGAGUUUCAAAAGAAAGCAUAACACCAAGAGGAACAAGGGUGGAGCUUCUUGCGAGACUAUUUGCUUCUACUACAAGGAGAAAGGACACUGGAAAAUAAAUUGCGCAAAGUAUCUGGCGGAUAAGAAAAACUCAUCUUCUGGUAAAGGUAAGUUAUACAAGUUAAU